AAUGAACGCUGGCGGCAUGCCUUACACAUGCAAGUCGAACGGCAGCAUGACCUAGCUUGCUAGGUUGAUGGCGAGUGGCGAACGGGUGAGUAAUGCAUCGGAACGUGCCUUUUAGUGGGGGAUAACGUAGAGAAAGUUACGCUAAUACCGCAUAUUCUCUGAGGAGGAAAGAAGGGGACCUUCGGGCAUUGUGCUAGAAGAGCGGCCGAUGUCGGAUUAGCUAGUUGGUGAGGUAAAGGCUCACCAAGGCAACGAUCCGUAGCGGGUCUGAGAGGAUGAUCCGCCACACUGGAACUGAGACACGGCCCAGACUCCUACGGGAGGCAGCAGUGGGGAAUUUUGGACAAUGGGCGCAAGCCUGAUCCAGCCAUGCCGCGUGAGUGAAGAAGGCCUUCGGGUUGUAAAGCUCUUUCGGCUGGGAAGAAAACGCACCCUCUAAUACAGGGUGUGGAUGACGGUACCAGAAGAAGAAGCACCGGCUAACUACGUG
rnacentral:rRNA from 1 species